UGGGGGCCGGCGAUGCGUCCU
rnacentral:siRNA from 1 species